rnacentral:rRNA from 1 species
UGGGGAAUUUUCCGCAAUGGGCGAAAGCCUGACGGAGCAAUGCCGCGUGGAGGUGGAAGGCCUACGGGUCGUCAGCUUCUUUUCUCGGAGAAGAAACAAUGACGGUAUCUGAGGAAUAAGCAUCGGCUAACUCUGUGCCAG